GGGUGUGUAGCUCAGUGGUAGAGCACCUGCCUUUUAAGCAGAGGGUCGCGCGUUCGAUCCGCGCCACACCCA
rfam:Candidatus Doudnabacteria bacterium RIFCSPHIGHO2_01_FTLL_45_18 rifcsphigho2_01_scaffold_827, whole genome shotgun sequence.